UACAGAGGUGGCAAGCGUUGCUCGGAAUCACUGGGCGUAAAGCGCACGUAGGCGGACUCUUAAGUCGGUGGUGAAAUCCUGGAGCUCAACUCCAGAACUGCCUUCGAUACUGGGAGUCUCGAGUCCGGGAGAGGUGAGUGGAACUGCGAGUGUAGAGGUGAAAUUCGUAGAUAUUCGCAAGAACACCAGUGGCGAAGGCGGCUCACUGGCCCGGUACUGACGCUGAGGUGCGAAAGCGUGGGGAGCAAACAGG
rnacentral:rRNA from 1 species